rnacentral:rRNA from 1 species
UACGUAGGGGGCAAGCGUUGGCCGGAAUCAUUGGGCGUAAAGCGCGUGUAGGCGGCUUGGUAAGUCCGCUCUGAAAGCCCGGGGCUCAACCCCGGGAGGCGGGUGGAUACUGUCAAGCUCGAGUCCGGAAGAGGCGAGUGGAAUUCCUGGUGUAGCGGUGAAAUGCGCAGAUAUCAGGAGGAACACCAAUGGCGAAGGCAGCUCGCUGGGACGUGACUGACGCUGAGACGCGAAAGCGUGGGGAGCAAACAGG